rnacentral:misc_RNA from 1 species
UGGGCUAGACAACGGCGGUCCGGUCCAUGUCAAGCCUUGGUAAGGUUCUUCGCGUUGCAUCGAAUUAAUCCGCAUGCUCCGCCGCUUGUGCGGGCCCCCGUCAAUUCCUUUGAGUUUUAGCCUUGCGGCCGUACUCCCCAGGCGGGGAACUUAAUGCGUUAGCUGCGACACGGAAGCCGUGGAAUGGCCCCCACAUCUAGUUCCCAACGGUUACGGCGUGGACUAC